rnacentral:lncRNA from 10 species
GAAAUUAUCAAACUUACUUUAAUUUGAAACAGUUAAGAUUUUUGUUUAAAUUUAUUUUUUGAACUGGUAAUAAUUUUACAUGUUUCAAAAUUCCAAAAAUAUAAAAUGAUAAAGAGUGAAAAUUAUUCCUCAUCACUGUCCUCCCAAUUCUUCUGGCCAACCAGUAUGCCACUUUUACCCUUUCAGAGAUUAUGUGUGUACAUAUAAACAAAUGUUUCUUAUUUAUUUAUUUAUUUUUGAGAUGGAGUUUCGCUCUUGUUGCCCAAGCUGGAGUGCAAUGGCACAAUAUUGGCUCACUGCAACCUCCACUUCCUGGGUUCAAGCGAUUCUCCUGCCUUAGCCUACGGAGUAGCUGGGAUUAGAAGUGUGCACCACCACACCCAGCUUUUGUAUUUUUAGUAGAGAUGGGGUUUCACCGUGUUGGUCAGGCUGGUCUUGAACUCCGGACCUCAGGUGAUCCACCCGCCUCGGCCUCCCAAAGUGCUGGGAUUACAGGCGUGAGUCACCUUGCCUAGCCUGUUUCUUCUUUACAUAAAUGGAAACAUACUCUACAGUUUGACACCUUGCUUUUAUCUACUUAACUAUCUUAGAGCUCUUUCUCACAUUAGUAUAGUUUGAGGAUCCCUAAUUCAAAAAUCUGAAAUCUGAAACACUUCUGGUCCUGAGCAUUUUGGAUAAGGGAUACUCAACCUGUAUAUAAAGAGUCUUCAUUUUUAAGGCUAUGAUCUCCAUUCCACCAUAAAUGACUUAGCCAGUUCCCCAUGGUGGACAUGGAGGGUUGUUUCCAAAUUCUGACUUUUAAAAUCAAUAGCAUAAUGAAAACCAUGUACAAACAGUCUGCACACAUAUAAAUAUAUAUGUAGGAUUCAUUCCCAGCAGGUUUGGUGAGACAAAGGGUUUAUGUAUUUGUAAUUUAGUGACUGAUAAACUGCCCUUCAUAGAAGAUGUAUAAGAACCUUCCCACACCCCCUUUGAGAACUCAAGGCUUGUUGAGUUCCAGUUGAUUGCUUCAUCCCAGCUUACCACCCUGUGGGGCUGCUAUAACCUCAGCCAACCCCAUGCCCCCUCAGAGAAGUAUCAACUGUGACCCCUUCAGGACUGGCCAUUUUGGGGGCCAAGGUGGAGGGAAUGAGGCAAUCACAGGCCUGACUUCCAGAGCUGUCUAGAACCAUGCUGUCAUUUUUGGUCCCACUGCUUCAGAGGGGAGGAGCUUUCCUGUCUGGAUUCCCAAGCCUGUGCCCCAAACUGCUGGUGGAGCAGAAAGGAGGAAUGAUCCAGAAUAGGGUUUUGGUACCAGACUGUUUGGUUCACACUCUGGCUGGGCCACUUGGUAGCACAUUACUUCUCCUCUUAGGGCCAUCCUGCACUGUUGGUGGCAGUGGGGAUGAAGUAAGCAAAUCCGAAAUGUUUACAUGGCAAAAUCAACAGGACCUCUAACUCCAUGGAGUGGGGAAGGGGAGAGGUCAAGAAGACUGGUUUUCUGGCUUCCAUGAUGGGAUGGCAAGUGGAAACAGCCUCCAGGAAAGGGAUCAGGGAAGCAGAGACUAGUCUGGGUGGAAAAUGAGUUUUGUUUGGGGUAGGCUGGGUUUGGGGAGCUUUCGGCACACCUCGGGGAGUUGCCCAGUAGCACACAGCAGUUGUUUGGGUCUGAAGCCCAAAUCUCAGAAGCACCAGACUGAUUUGGUGGUGAGCAGCACAAAGCUAGGGAUGUAGAUGACACCUGGGGAGGGCGUGGAGCACAAGGUGGACUCUAGGACCCCAGCAUUUAGGAAGGGUGACGGGAGGUUGAGAAGUCCCUGAAGAGUUAGAAGGAACCCCACAAUGCAAGGAGAUGGAGCUCUGCAAAGAGGUUAGCAGGCUUCACAGUCCUGGGGAUGAAGAGAGACGACACCAGAGGUAGUACCUUGGACAGUGGUUGCAGUGGGUUCUGUGAAGCAGUGGGGGCGGACAGCAGGUCUGAGGUGUGAGCUGCCACCAAGGGAAUAGGGAGCACAAGCGAUUCUCCCAAGAGCUUGAAGGAGAAAAGCAGCAGAUACGGCUAGCUGCCUCCAUCAUCCACCAAGGGAAUAGGGAGCACAAGCAAUUCUCCCAAGAGCUUGAAGAGAAAAGCAGCAGCUACGGCUAGCUGCCUCCAUCAUCCACUUCCCAGGACUUUUCUCUCCCACCUGUCUCCACCACAGAGGUUAGAAAGGUAAAUACGAGGUUUCUAAGCCCCGUUGUUAUUAGGGGUGGCCCCCUGACCCAUCUGUGGCCAGUGAGACUAAGGGGGGCAUGUGCUGCAGGCUUCUGGGAAUGUUUUUCCUUUAAACACCAUCAGCGGUAAGUGUUGGCCUGCCCAUUCCCCCUUCUUUCAGUCUUCACUGUGGAUGCAAUGGCUGGAGCCAUAGGAGUCUCCUCAUGACCACAAUGGAAAGGUUGAGAGAUUGCAGAAAACAUCGACUGUGACACAGCUGAGCCACUGAAAAGACAGCCUUUGAACAAAGCCUCAUCUGUUUAAGCCAUGGUCAGCUGGGUGCUGACAUCAAAUUCUAACUCCACCACUUCCUAGCUUGGGCUGGUUACUUUUGUUCUAGUUACCACUAACUUUUGUCCUGUGCCAAAUUUUGCCUAUCUAUAAAAUGGUACUAACUCACAGAACUAUUAUUGUGGCAGUGUCGGAGGGUGCAGCAUUUAGCUAUGCGAAUGGAGGUUAUCUAAGGAGACAGAAGUGGCGCAGUCCAAGGUAGGAGGCCAGAGUUGCUGUGAAAAGUGAGAGCUGACACGGCAACGUUUUGAGGACAACCCCGAAGAGGUAAGUGCAGAGAAACGAACUUGGGCCAUCCACAGGGUCCUGUUGAACCUCUAGAGAUGAACCACAAAGCUCUGGCUCUGGCAUCCUGGAGGCCAGCUCUGCCUUGAUUGGAUAGCUGAGUUGUGACACUCCCAGCAUCCAAAAAGCAAAAACGGACACGGGAAGUUCUUUUAUUUUUUUCGAGAUGGAGUCUAGCUCUGUCACCCAGGCUGGAGUGCAGAGGCACUAUCUCAGCUCACUGCAAGCUCUGCCUCCCAGGUUCACGCCAUUCUCCCGCCUCAGCCUCCCGAGUAGCUGGGACUACAGGCGCCCGCCACCACGCCAGGCUAAUUUUUUGUAUUUUUAGUAGAGACAGGGUUUCACCGUGUUAGCCAGGCUGGUCUCGAUCUCCUGACCUCGUGAUCUGCCCAUCUCGGCCUCCGAAAGUGCUGGGAUUACAGGCGUGAGCCACCGCGCCUGGCCUGACACGGGAAGUUCUGAUGCUAAUGCGUUCCAAUGCUCAACCAUUCCAACAUGGUUAUUCAAAUUGCUGUUUUGGGGCCAGGCGCGGUGGCUCACUCCUGUAACCCCAGCACUUUGGGAGGCCGAGGCAGGUGGAUCACGAGGUCAGGAGAUUGAGACCAUCCUGGCUA